rnacentral:rRNA from 1 species
AUUGAACGCUGGCGGCAGGCUUAACACAUGCAAGUCGAGCGGGGUGAUGGUGCUUGCACUAUCACUUAGCGGCGGACGGGUGAGUAAUGCUUAGGAAUCUGCCUAUUAGUGGGGGACAACAUCUCGAAAGGGAUGCUAAUACCGCAUACGUCCUACGGGAGAAAGCAGGGGAUCACUUGUGACCUUGCGCUAAUAGAUGAGCCUAAGUCGGAUUAGCUAGUUGGUGGGGUAAAGGCCUACCAAGGCGACGAUCUGUAGCGGGUCUGAGAGGAUGGUCCGCCAAACUGGGGCUGGGGCACGGGCCCGGCUCCUACGGGGGGCAGGAGUGGGGAAUAUUGGACAAUGGGGGGAACCCUGAUCCAGCCAUGCCGCGUGUGUGAAGAAGGCCUUAUGGUUGUAAAGCACUUUAAGCGAGGAGGAGGCUCUUUUGGUUAAUACCCAAGAUGAGUGGACGUUACUCGCAGAAUAAGCACCGGCUAACUCUGUGCCAGCCGCCGCAGUAA